rnacentral:misc_RNA from 1 species
GCUCCGUAGGUGAACCUGCGGAGGGAUCAUUACAGAGUUCUCGCCCUCGCGGGUAGAUCUCCCACCCACUGCUAUCGUUACUGUGUUGCUUUGGCGGGCCGCCGGGCCCCGCUCGGCCGCCGGCUCCGGCUGGCGCGCGCCCGCCAGAGGCCCAGCAAACUCUGAAUGUUAGUGUCGUCUGAGUACUAUAUAAUAGUUAAAACUUUCAACAACGGAUCUCUUGGUUCUG